rnacentral:tmRNA from 1 species
CCCUUUGCAUUUUGCCGGAAAAACGGGUAUAAUGGUUGCGCCGGAGCAAUCCGGCUAUGGUGAUAAACGGGCUGUGAAAUAAACCGAUUGGACCCGGGGGCGGUACCCGGCGCCUCCACCACAGGGCAUUUGCAAAGCUGCUCUGUGGCGGGGGCGAAACAGGAUCGACAAAGGCGUAAAGACUGAUCUUUCACCCGGCAUUGUACCACCGUUAUCGGGCUGACUUGGUAGUUGCAAAUGACAACUAUGCGGAGGCUCGUCUCGCUGCCUAAUGGCGGUGCGACAGCUUCAACUUAAGUCUUGUUCCGUCGCAGGAACAAGCGGGGUUCGGAGGCACCUGGCAACAGAAGCCUUCACU